rnacentral:tRNA from 2 species
GCCCCGGUAGCUCAAUGGAUAGAGCAGCGGCCUUCUAAGCCGAAGGUUGUGGGUUCGACUCCCGCCCGGGGCG